UAGGGAAUGUAAACAUGUUUUAUUGUCAAAGGAUGUCAUUUCAUCAAAUUCUCCAUCUUUACAUAGCUCCCACAAAAGCUAUACAAAAAACCGCGUUCUUGGAAAGGUAUAGAUACUGAAAGAGAAAACCAUCACAUUUUAAAAAUGUAAUUCCUUGUAAAUGAUGAAUUAUCGUGUACACUGGACUAUAAAUCCGUACGGUUUUCCUCACCGCUUCUUAUAUAACUUGAUUCGCAAUACUGAAAACUUACUAACCCACUAGAAUCAGACCUUAGAACUGCAGAAAAUCACCUAAACAUGCGUCAACACUUAGGGACCCGGGUCCAGCUUUCCAGGACAAUAAUCGCGUCCGCCGGGCGGGCUCUGGCCGCCGCGCAGGCCAGCGGUCCUAGCCCGAGCCCCAGCGCGAGCGCGACCCGACCGCGGGACCGGAAGCCGCGCUCCCGGCAGCCCCCCUACGCGGGGCGGGGCGAGGGCGCGCGGCCCAGAAAGCAGGCCCGCGUUCACGGAGAACGACGGAAGCCCGAGCGCCGUCCCCGGCCUCCCUCAGCCCUGCCCCCGCGGCCCGGCCCCUUCUCAGCCCUCUGCACGGGUGGUGACUCACUGCUCUCCAGUUCAGUGUGAGGACAAGUCCCACGGUGCUGACUGCCUGAUGCUCCUGGAGGACAUUCCUAACCCACCACUCACCACAUUAUUAGAAAUCCAACUCGAAAUCGCUAAUCCCCAAAUAGCCUCUAUUCUCUCCACUGCUGGCUUCGUUGCUUUGAUUUUAUGCACAGUAGUUCUCAACUCAAGGCCAAAAAUUCUACCCCAUGCUGCGCCACUUUCAAAGGAGAACCAAUAUGCUAGGACUGGAGGGGGAUUUGAAUAACAGCUAAUUGUCAGUUUGUCUAGUGAAAAAGCUUCCUUUCUCCCGUGCGCAGGCUGGUUAUUUGUUAAAGUUUGCUGGGGUUUUCGAGCUCCUCCUGGCUAGGGGCAGCUCAGACUCAGCAGUUUUAAUUGUUGCUCGGGUCAAAGGCUGAUGAUAGUCUUUCCUCUCUUCAUGGGAGGGUCUGAGAGUUCACAGGAAGGGCUGUGCAGGCCCUGUGCUGGGAUGGGAAGAAGCAGUGAGGGCUGCAAAGAGCUCAAGGCACAGCAAGCCCAACUUUUUAACGGCCCCUUGACCCAGACAGACCAUUGAAGUCAUGCACUCUGCCUAUGGCUUCACCUGAAGUGAGUGUGUGCUUUAUCCUUUCCGAGGGGUGCUGUCUUCUCAUGCUGAACAUAGUCCAGACUCAACUAUUAACGUGCUUCUUUCCAAACUGGAAUAUGGAAAAAGAAGUGGUCGCUGCAAAUGGGUCUGCUCACUUGCAUAGGCUUACUUCAGAAGGGCGCACUUUCAAAACGGCCUGAGGCUUUUCCAAGGUUGGGUUCCUGAUGUCUCCAAACGUGUCCACACUGUGUUUAUCCUGCCUCUCACACUUCUUCCUCAUCCUUUGGGAGGCUCUCUUCUCUUUUUAGCCUGAAACCCCAGCUUGACAGAAUCCAGAAAGGUGUUUUCCAUAUCUGCCUGCUCUCCAGGCAUUCUAAACAAUUCCAGCUGAC
ensembl:lincRNA